AUACCUUCUCCUUUCACAUUGCUAAAACUUUACAUUUCUUUCUGUUUAUUCCAUUGAUUCAGUUUGGUAGUUUCUAUCACCUAAAGGAGUUAAACUAAUUGAACAAUCUAAUUAGUAAUAUUUUGGGGCUAGGAAUGAAAUUGAGUGCAUAGCAUGCUAAGGCUUCAACAUGUAUUUGGUACUUUUUUAGUGAAUAGUUCUCUACUGAUGAAAGCAAGUAUGAAUCAAUUUAAACAGUCAUUUCUUAAAGAUGUCUGAUUUGUGAUUGAUGUGGGAUAGAUGGGAUAUUUGUAUAGUUGUGCUUUUAUGCUGGGCCAGGGCCUUCGACAGUUGGAGAAUUUAGGAUUUGAAGGUUGAACAUUAGAAACAAAGGUUAGAUAGGAAUGAGAGUAAAGAGUGGCUGGAAUUUGAGAAUUAGCUUAUGUUGGUGGUUAAUUAUUGGGGAUUGGGUUUGAUUUGAUUGGAUUAAGCUGUCGGAAAGAUAUGUGAAAUAUACUGAUAUUUAGGAUGAGUAAUGGUGAAACAAUAGAUUAACUUUCAGUGUUGAUUGAAGCAAGAAAAGAAUAAUAUUUUGUGGCUUUUGGUUGCUAGCAGCAGACUAAAAGAGAAAUAGGAGGAAAAAGUGUGCAUACAGAAUGUGAAGACAGAAGGGAGCAAGAAAAAGAAAAAGAAAUUACACACUAUGCAAAGAUGCCUUCAAAUGCA
rnacentral:misc_RNA from 1 species